UCCGUAGGUGAACCUGGGGAAGGAUCAUUA
rnacentral:rRNA from 1 species